GUGGGGAAUCUUCCGCAAUGGACGAAAGUCUGACGGAGCGACGCCGCGUGAGUGAAGAAGGCCUUCGGGUCGUAAAGCUCUGUCAUCAGGGACGAACGGCCGGUGGAGUGGAAAGCCACCGGAUUGACGGUACCUGAGAAGGAAGCCACGGCUAACUACGUGCCAGCAGCCGCGGUAAUACGUAGGUGGCAAGCGUUGUCCGGAAUUAUUGGGCGUAAAGCGCGCGCAGGUGGAAUCUUAAGUCCAUUUUUAAAGUUCGGAGCUCAACUCCGUGAUGGGAUGGAAACUGGGAUUCUUGAGUACCGGAGAGGAAAGCGGAAUUCCCCGUGUAGCGGUGAAAUGCGUAGAUAUGGGGAGGAACACCAGUGGCGAAGGCGGCUUUCUGGACGGUGUCUGACACUGAGGCGCGAAAGCCAGGGGAGCGAACGGGAUUAGAAACCCUAGUAGUCC
rnacentral:rRNA from 1 species